AUUGAACGCUGGCGGCAUGCCUUACACAUGCAAGUCGAACGGUAACAGGUCUUCGGAUGCUGACGAGUGGCGAACGGGUGAGUAAUACAUCGGAACGUGCCUAGUAGUGGGGGAUAACUACUCGAAAGAGUGGCUAAUACCGCAUGAGAUCUACGGAUGAAAGCAGGGGAUCGCAAGACCUUGUGCUACUAGAGCGGCCGAUGGCAGAUUAGGUAGUUGGUGGGAUAAAAGCUUACCAAGCCGACGAUCUGUAGCUGAUCUGAGAGGACGAUCAGCCACACGGGGACUGAGACACGGUCCAGACUCCUACGGGAGGCAGCAGUGGGGAAUUUUGGACAAUGGGCGCAAGCCUGAUCCAGCAAUGCCGCGUGCAGGAUGAAGGCCUUCGGGUUGUAAACUGCUUUUGUACGGAACGAAAAGCCCCGGGUUAAUACCCUGGGGUCAUGACGGUACCGUAAGAAUAAGCACCGGCUAACUACGUGCCAGCCGCCGCCGUAA
rnacentral:rRNA from 1 species